GAAUAUUGGUCAAUGGGCGCAGGCCUGAACCAGCCAAGUAGCGUGAAGGAUGACUGCCCUAUGGGUUGUAAACUUCUUUUAUAUGGGAAUAAAGUUUUCCACGUGUGGAAUUUUGUAUGUACCAUAUGAAUAAGGAUCGGCUAACUCCGUGCCAGCAGCCGCGGUAAUACGGAGGAUCCGAGCGUUAUCCGGAUUUAUUGGGUUUAAAGGGAGCGUAGGUGGACAGUUAAGUCAGUUGUGAAAGUUUGCGGCUCAACCGUAAAAUUGCAGUUGAUACUGGCUGUCUUGAGUACAGUAGAGGUGGGCGGAAUUCGUGGUGUAGCGGUGAAAUGCUUAGAUAUCACGAAGAACUCCGAUUGCGAAGGCAGCUCACUGGACUGCAACUGACACUGAUGCUCGAAAGUGUGGGUAUCAAACAGGAUUAGAUACCCUGGUAGUCCACACAGUAAACGAUGAAUACUCGCUGUUUGCGAUAUACAGUAAGCGGCCAAGCGAAAGCAUUAAGUAUUCCACCUGGGGAGUACGCCGGCAACGGUGAAACUCAAAGGAAUUGACGGGGGCCCGCACAAGCGGAGGAACAUGUGGUUUAAUUCGAUGAUACGCGAGGAACCUUACCCGGGCUUAAAUUGCAUUUGAAUAUAUUGGAAACAGUAUAGUCGUAAGACAAAUGUGAAGGUGCUGCAUGGUUGUCGUCAGCUCGUGCCGUGAGGUGUCGGCUUAAGUGCCAUAACGAGCGCAACCCUUAUCUUUAGUUACUAACAGGUCAUGCUGAGGACUCUAGAGAGACUGCCGUCGUAAGAUGUGAGGAAGGUGGGGAUGACGUCAAAUCAGCACGGCCCUUACGUCCGGGGCUACACACGUGUUACAAUGGGGGGUACAGAAGGCAGCUACCUGGUGACAGGAUGCUAAUCCCAAAAGCCUCUCUCAGUUCGGAUCGAAGUCUGCAACCCGACUUCGUGAAGCUGGAUUCGCUAGUAAUCGCGCAUCAGCCAUGGCGCGGUGAAUACGUUCCCG
rnacentral:rRNA from 1 species